CUACAUGCAUGAAACCUGGGGUGAAUAGUCGGCUGACUUGACGGGGAGUAACCCGUCCGGUUAUAAUACCCUGGGGUCAUGACGGUCCCGUAAGAAUAAGCACCGGCUAACUACGUGCCAGCAGCCGCGGUAAUACGUAGGGUGCAAGCGUUAAUCGGAAUUACUGGGCGUAAAAGCGUGCGCAGGCGGUUAUGUAAGACAGAGGUGAAAUCCCCGGGCUCAACCUGGGAACUGCCUUUGUGACUGCAAGGCUAGAGUACGGCAGAGGGGGAUGGAAUUCCGCGUGUAGCAGUGAAAUGCGUAGAUAUGCGGAGGAACACCGAUGGCGAAGGCAAUCCCCUGGGCCUGUUACUGACGCUCAUGCACGAAAGCGUGGGGAGCAAACAGGAAUUAGAUACCCUGGUAAUCCCCCCCCUAAACGAUGUCAACUGCUUGUCGGGUUCUUAACUGACUCAGUAACGAAAGCUAACGCUUGAAUUUGACCGCCUGGGGAGUACGGCCCCCAAGGUUGAAACUCAAA
rnacentral:rRNA from 1 species